GGACCGGAACCCGGACGGGUCGGACAAAAUCCGACCCGGCCCGGACCGGUUGACCCAUUAGCUACCUUUAAUUGAGACACAAGUUACUAUUGGAAUAUACUUUAAUUUACUUGCUUUCUGAUAAUGUUAUUCUCAAGUUUCAUUCUUUACAUACUUUUCGAUUAUCAGUAAUCCGACUCUUCUAAAAUUUUCCUUAUUUUUCGUUUAAAUAAAUAUAUCGAAUUUUUCUUUUGCUUUUCUCGUGUCUAGCUUCUCAAAGGAAAAUACCCUUUUUCGCCGGUUCCAUCCUUCCUUUUUUCCCAAAAAA
rnacentral:lncRNA from 1 species